GUGGACGCCAGUCUGCAUGGAGCCGACCUUGAAAUACCACCCUUUAAUGUUUGAUGUUCUAACGUUGACCCGUAAUCCGGGUUGCGGACAGUGUCUGGUGGGUAGUUUGACUGGGGCGGUCUCCUCCUAAAGAGUAACGGAGGAGCACGAAGGUUGGCUAAUCCUGGUCGGACAUCAGGAGGUUAGUGCAAUGGCAUAAGCCAGCUUGACUGCGAGCGUGACGGCGCGAGCAGGUGCGAAAGCAGGUCAUAGUGAUCCGGUGGUUCUGAAUGGAAGGGCCAUCGCUCAACGGAUAAAAGGUACUCCGGGGAUAACAGGCUGAUACCGCCCAAGAGUUCAUAUCGACGGCGGUGUUUGGCACCUCGAUGUCGGCUCAUCACAUCCUGGGGCUGAAGUAGGUCCCAAGGGUAUGGCUGUUCGCCAUUUAAAGUGGUACGCGAGCUGGGUUUAGAACGUCGUGAGACAGUUCGGUCCCUAUCUGCCGUGGGCGCUGGAGAACUGAGGGGGGCUGCUCCUAGUACGAGAGGACCGGAGUGGACGCAUCACUGGUGUUCGGGUUGUCAUGCCAAUGGCACUGCCCGGUAGCUAAAUGCGGAAGAGAUAAGUGCUGAAAGCAUCUAAGCACGAAACUUGCC
rnacentral:rRNA from 1 species